rnacentral:rRNA from 1 species
CAGCAGCCGCGGUAACACAGAGGAUGCAAGCGUUAUCCGGAAUGAUUGGGCGUAAAGCAUCUGUAGGUGGCUUUUCAAGUCCGCCGUCAAAUCCCAGGGCUCAACCCUGGACAGGCGGUGGAAACUACCAAGCUGGAGUACGGUAGGGGCAGAGGGAAUUUCCGGUGGAGCGGUGAAAUGCGUUGAGGUCGGAAAGAACACCAACGACGAAAGCACUCUGCUGGGCCGACACUGACACUGAGAGACGAAAGCUAGGGGAGCAAAUGGGAUUAGAUACCCCCGUAGUCCCUGUCUCUUAUAC